rnacentral:rRNA from 1 species
AACGAACGCUGGCGGCAUGCCUAACACAUGCAAGUCGAACGAGACCUUCGGGUCUAGUGGCGCACGGGUGCGUAACGCGUGGGAAUCUGCCCUUGGGUUCGGAAUAACAGUUUGAAACGACUGCUAAUACCGGAUGAUGACGUAAGUCCAAAGAUUUAUCGCCCAAGGAUGAGCCCGCGUAGGAUUAGCUAGUUGGUGAGGUAAAGGCUCGCCAAGGCGACGAUCCUUAGCUGGUCUGAGAGGAUGAUCAGCCACACUGGGACUUAGACACGGCCCAGACUGCUACGGGAGGGAGCAGAAGAGAAUAUAAGGCGAUGGGGGAAAGCCUGGUCCAGCCAUGCCCCGGAAGUGAGGAAGGCCUUAGGGUUGUGAAGCUCUUUUACCCGAGACGAUAAUGACAGUACCGGGAGAAUAAGCUCCGGCUAACUACGUG